rnacentral:rRNA from 1 species
AACGUAGGGGGCGAGCGUUGUCCGGAAUUACUGGGCGUAAAGGGCGCGUAGGCGGUUAUUUAAGUCAGAGGUGAAAACUACCGGCUCAACCGGUAGCCUGCCUUUGAAACUGGAUGACUUGAGGGCAGGAGAGGGGAGUGGAAUUCCCAGUGUAGCGGUGAAAUGCGUAGAUAUUGGGAGGAACACCAGUGGCGAAGGCGGCUCUCUGGCCUGUUUCUGACGCUGAGGCGCGAAAGCGUGGGGAGCAAAC